UCUCCGUUGGUGAACCAGCGGAGGGAUCAUUACAGGACUCGCAAGACUCCCGUAACCCACGCGAACCUUACCUUUGCAUCGUUGCCUCGGCGGGCUUGCGCUCCCUCGGGAGCCCCCGCCGGCGGCCUACAACUCUUCUGCUUCUUAAGCGUUGGCAUCUCCGAGUAAAAACACAAACGAAUCAAAACUUUCAACAACGGAUCUCUUGGUUCUGGCAUCGAUGAAGAACGCAGC
rnacentral:misc_RNA from 1 species